GACUUGGUAGCACAUGGUGUGUGCCUGCCAGCAUUGGUGGAAUGGCAAGAAAUUGAAAGCAGGAGGCCCCCGUUCGAUCCGGGGCCGGGUCU